rnacentral:rRNA from 1 species
AUUGAACGCUGGCGGCAGGCCUAACACAUGCAAGUCGAACGAGUGGCGGACGGGUGAGUAAUGUCUGGGAAACUGCCUGAUGGAGGGGGAUAACUACUGGAAACGGUGGCUAAUCCCGCAUACCAUCAGAUGUGCCCAGAUGGGAUUAGCUUGUUGGGGGGGUAACGGCUAACCAAGGCGACGAUCCCUAGCUUGUCUGAGAGGAUGACCAGCCACACUGGAAUGGGGACACGGCCCAGACUCCUACGGGAGGCAGCAGUGGGGAAUAUUGCACAAUGGGCGCAAGCCUGAUGCAGCCAUGCCGCGGGUAUGAAGAAGGCCUUCGGGUGGUAAAGUACUUUCAGCGGGGAGGCGGUACCCGCAGAAGAAGCACCGGCUAACUCCGUGCCAGCCGCCGCGGUAAUAC